rnacentral:rRNA from 1 species
AACGAACGCUGGCGGCAGGCCUAACACAUGCAAGUCGAACGCCCUAGCAAUAGGGAGUGGCAGACGGGUGAGUAACACGUGGGAACCUUCCCUAUAGUACGGAAUAGCCCAGGGAAACUUGGAGUAAUACCGUAUAAGCCCGAGAGGGGAAAGAUUUAUCGCUAUAGGAUGGGCCCGCGUCGGAUUAGCUAGUUGGUGAGGUAAUGGCUCACCAAGGCGACGAUCCGUAGCUGGUUUGAGAGAACGACCAGCCACACUGGGACUGAGACACGGCCCAGACUCCUACGGGAGGCAGCAGUGGGGAAUAUUGGACAAUGGGCGAAAGACCUGAUCCAGCCAUGCCGCGUGAGUGAUGAAGGCCUUAGGGUUGUAAAGCUCUUUUGUCGGGGACGAUAAUGACGGUACCCGAAGAAUAAAGCUCCGGCUAACUUCGUG